rnacentral:rRNA from 1 species
AUAUCCGCGUCCAAGCAGUUAGGCUGGGAAAUAGGCAAAUCCGUUUCCCGUGAAGGCUGAGCUGUGAUGGCGAGCGAAUUAUAGUAGCGAAGUUCCUGAUUCCACACUGCCAAGAAAAGCCUCUAGCGAGGUGAGAGGUGCCCGUACCGCAAACCGACACAGGUAGGCGAGGAGAGAAUCCUACGGUGAUCGAGAGAACUCUCGUUAAGGAACUCGGCAAAAUGACCCCGUAACUUCGGGAGAAGGGGUGCUCUGUUAGGGUGCAAGCCCGAGAGAGCCGCAGUGAAUAGGCCCAGGCGACUGUUUAGCA